UACGGAGGGGGCUAGCGUUGUUCGGAAUUACUGGGCGUAAAGCGCGCGUAGGCGGACCUGCAAGUCGGGGGUGAAAGCCCGAGGCUCAACCUCGGAACUGCCUUCGAUACUGCGGGUCUCGAGUCCGGGAGAGGUGAGUGGAAUUCCUAGUGUAGAGGUGAAAUUCGUAGAUAUUAGGAAGAACACCAGUGGCGAAGGCGGCUCACUGGCCCGGUACUGACGCUGAGGCGCGAAAGUAAGGGGAUCAAACAGG
rnacentral:rRNA from 1 species